CUACGGGUUGCAGCAGUGGGGAAUAUUGCACAAUGGAGGAAACUCUGAUGCAGCAACGCCGCGUGGAGGAUGACACUUUUCGGAGCGUAAACUCCUUUUAUAUAGGAAGAAGAUGACGGUACUAUAUGAAUAAGCGCCGGCUAACUCCGUGCCAGCAGCCGCGGUAAUACGGAGGGCGCAAGCGUUACUCGGAAUCACUGGGCGUAAAGAGCGUGUAGGCGGAUUAAAAAGUCAGAAGUGAAAUCCUAUAGCUUAACUAUAGAACUGCUUCUGAAACUCUUAAUCUAGAAUAUGGGAGAGGCAGAUGGAAUGUCUGGUGUAGGGGUAAAAUCCGUAGAGAUCAGAAGGAAUACCGAUUGCGAAGGCGAUCUACUAGAACAUUAUUGACGCUGAGACGCGAAAGCGUGGGGAGCAAACAGGAUUAGAUACCCGCGUAGUC
rnacentral:rRNA from 1 species